rnacentral:rRNA from 1 species
UACGUAGGUGGCAAGCGUUGUCCGGAAUUACUGGGCGUAAAGCGUGCGCAGGCGGUUUUGUAAGUCAGAUGUGAAAGCCCCGGGCUUAACCUGGGAACUGCGUUUGAAACUACAAGGCUAGAGUGUGGCAGAGGGGGGUGGAAUUCCACGUGUAGCAGUGAAAUGCGUAGAGAUGUGGAGGAACACCGAUGGCGAAGGCGGCGUUCUGGACUGCAACUGACACUGAGAGACGAAAGCCAGGGGAGCAAACGGG